rnacentral:rRNA from 1 species
AUACAGGGUGACAGCCCCGUACACAAAAGCGCAUAUGCUGUGAGCUCGAUGAGUAGGGCGGGACACGUGGUAUCCUGUCUGAAUAUGGGGGGACCAUCCUCCAAGGCUAAAUACUCCUGACUGACCGAUAGUGAACCAGUACCGUGAGGGAAAGGCGAAAAGAACCCCGGCGAGGGGAGUGAAAAAGAACCUGAAACCGUGUACGUACAAGCAGUGGGAGCCCCACCACUAAGCCAGUGGUGAACUCCACAUACGCAUCCUUUGCUGAGGAUACGGUUAACGGAGCGAAAGCGACGUUCAACCGCAAAAGAAGCAGAGGGGGCUUAGUGGUGGGGUGACUGCGUACCUUUUGUAUAAUGGGUCAGCGACUUAUAUUCUGUAGCAAGGUUAACCGAAUAGGGGAGCCGGAGGGAAACCGAGUCUUAACCGGGCGUUAAGUUGCAGGGUAUAGACCCGAAACCCGGUGAUCUAGCCAUGGGCAGGUUGAAGGUUGGGUAACACUAACUGGAGGACCGAACCGACUAAUGUUGAAAAAUUAGCGGAUGACCUGUGGCUGGGGGUGAAAGGCCAAUCAAACCGGGAG